ACCAGUGUGUGAAUGAACGAAGUGGGGUUCUGGGAGUGCUGGUCAGAUCCCAGGGAACUUCGACCGCCUGGCGCUGUUAAUUUGCUCUCAUUUUUAAAAUUUCAUUGAAGCUUCAAGAAUUUACUUGUUCUUUGUAUCACAGUUUGUAAUAGAAAUUCAUGCUAUAACCAUGGAAAAAAUGGAACUAGCCCUACCAGAUCAUGAGGAAGCCAAAACCCUAGAAGAGGAACAUGACUCUGAAGCGCAAAUCGUAAUGGAAACAACAGACAAUGGAAUAGAGAUGAGUCAACACAAUGUCUCCCAAAGUUCACAGAGUUCCCGAAGUUCACGUUGUUCACAAACUUCACAUAGUUCCCAAAUUUCCCAAACUAGCUCACAGGAUUUGACACAGCUAGGGCAAGUAGAAUUGGCUGUCGACAGUGAACCAGCGUUGACCUACGAGAAAAGUACUUUCUAUGUCAAUUGCGAUGCCGAGAAGACAUCGAGCGGAAAUCAUUCAUCUGAAUCUGGGGGAUCAAAUACAAGCAGCUAUGGCACUUGCAAAGGCCACAGUGAAGAUGAAAUGGAUGGUGUUCUGUUGGACGUGCGCACCAUAAUGUCUCGACAGCGCUCUGAGUCCCAGGCCUCGCUGGAGUACUACCGCUCGCAGGACACGCGCUUGCAGGUUUCAGCGCGAGAGGAACUGCAGGUCAGACCCCAAGCCACAGAACAUGACCGCCACGUCCACCAGUCGCGGAGACUCCCAUUCUGGCUUUGGUUCAUCAUUGCCAAGAGCCUCGGAAUCAAGCUGCAUGCCGAAGACAAGCCCAUUGUGGCAACAGUCUUGUAUACCCUCACGUUUAUGACUGCUUCAGGUUACAUCAUGUCAAACUGGUGGUUCACCGCCUAUGACAUAGCCAGCGACUACACCAAGACUACGGUCAUAGACGGAACCAUUAGCAUAUUCUUCUCCUUGCUUUGGGGUGCGCUUGGAGUAUAUGCUAACAAACUGGCAUUUAGGUUGUUCAGCCACAAGAAGUUCCUCGACAUGUUGAGACUUCACUCAAAGACCAUCCUGAAAAUGAACGCAGCGGCUGUGCUCUUCACGGUCAUGCUGCUCUUUGCCGUCUUCAACGACAUCAAUGCGCUCGAUAACUUCAAGGACAAGACGUGUCAGACAGUGGCCGUUGACGUGAUAGUGUGCAAAGUGCGAUACAUAAUGCGGGUUGUGUACUCUGGAUUUGCGGUUGUUUGGAACUACCUGGUUGCCUUUGUCCUCAUCUCUGUCUGCCGCACUCAUGUCAUUGGAAUUCGGAAAUUUAUGCAGUCCCUGGAGCAAGAUUCCCGUGUUUAUGAGGCGAGGUACAUGGGUGUCACGCAGCAUGGAACGCCAGACAGACCUGUGUUGGAAGAGAAUGGUCACCACUCUGAAGGAAAUGAGCUUUUAUCUGAGUACACUUGGGUGGACGAGGACUACUUGGACGAGCUGCGAGACCCGGGGACAAGCGAUGUGGACUCCAACUCCUCGGCACUCAUUCCGCAGCAGGGUAACAGACGGACCAGUGGACAGACAACGGGUGGAUCGCCAGACAGCACAGGACUCCCGAUACCCAGGAUUCCUUCCUCAUCAUCUUCUUCAGGGCAGAGUACUGGGUCAGAGAGAUCAUCGAAUCCUCCUAGGGAAGCUCAGGGGCAGGACAAGACAUCCAGCACUUUAACACAUAGACCCCGAUCCAACAGCCAGACUGAUGAGGCCAGCUCGGUGUGCAGUACAUCGACUUCUGCUGAGGUCCGCGCCAAGCCCAUGCCUCUCAUGAGCAAUUCGGAGAUUCUCUUUCGAUACUGGAAGAUACAGUCCCGGCUGAGGUUGUCAUCCGUGGCGCUACAGAGGUGGAUGAUGUCGGUCCUCUCCAUGGUGGUGGUCUGGCUGGCCAUGAACAUGGUCAUGUGGCUGACCUGUGACCCGUCCUUGAUUGACCUGGCCAACUUCUUCCUCCCACUGGCCCUCCUCCCCCUUCUGGCGUCUGCAUAUGCCGAGGUCAACCAGGAGGGAAUCAGGCUUCUUAAGUUCAUCUGUCCUGUGGAAGAGAGACUGCAGAUGCUCUACGUCCUGCAGAACAACCCUCUCCAGAUGACCGUCUAUGGGUUGACGCUCUCGUACUCCAUCAUCACCACGGCGGCCUUCGGUAUCCUGCUGGCUUUCGCGUCCAAGGUCCUGAUACAGGAGAUUUCAGGGCCCAACACACCGCCUAUAGCUCAGUGAUGGGACAUAGAGUCGAGAUCUGCCGGAGCAGAACUGUAUAUUUUGCUUGCAUCGUGUGUAAGGCAGCUGUGUUUCCCUUAAUGCUGUGUAUUUCCCUUAAUGCUGUGUUAGGAAUGGAGCAAAGGAUGUCAUUCCAGAUAUAUCUUCUUUGUGUUUUUUAUAUAAUCUACCUUGGACAGUAGAACCCUUUUCAUAUGGAUAAUUUUGUAAUACAUAAUACAGCAUAAUACAGCUGUAGGUAGUAAAAUACUGAUACAUAGGUUAGUUGGGUAAAAAAAAGGUGACAUGAAAGGAGGGUGUACAGGGGAAGAGGGAGAGCAGCUAUAGGCUACGUUUACGUCUUUCAACACAUAGAGUAUUAUAACUAAAGUAUAUUUUUUAAAACUAUUGCUGUCAGUAGAUUUGCUUGAAAUGAUAGUUGUAAUUUCUAGUUGAUUCUUUUUAAUUACUUUUAGCUGAUGGCAUUAGCAUUUACAUAACAUUCCUAACUAAUUUAUAUAAUCUCAAGUACCUCUGUCUUUUAUUCUGAUGUUUGAUCGUUUAGUCUUUUUAGUCAUGCAUUAUUUUAUCAAUUUUAGCCAAAGUGAAUGAUAAUAUUAGGUAUAUAAGCAGUACUAAAACUUUUAACCAGAUAACAGAUAUAUAGUCAUUAUUUUAUGAUUUGAAAAGACACGUUUAUAUGAUAAGAAAUACAAGCGAAAGAGAAUGAAAAGAGUGAAUGAGAAAUAACCAUUGUAGGAAAAAGCAAUAAUUCAAAUAAUAACUAGAUUGCACUAGCAAAUUAACUUUCUUCCUCAGAAACACAGUCAAUAAUAGAUCUUUUUGUAAUUAAAAUAAAUGAUAUAAAUAGCUCACAACCGUCUAGAUUCUGGCUUCUAGCAUUAUUAUUAUUAUUUUGACUGAAAUGGCAAAUUCCAAAAAAGGAAAUGGAAAUAUUGAGUGUAAAAGGUGAUUGAAUCUCUGUAUUUGUGAGACAGUGGAACAUAAAAUAUGUUAAUUUUUUAUUAAGGUGUAGUAUAGCUGGGAUAAUUACCUAUAAUUCUCCGUUCUGACAUGUUUCAUAGUAUACAUGGUUUAAACGUUGUGUUAUUUGUGAUUUUUUUUUUUUUUUUUUUUUUUUUUUUUUUUUUUUUUUUUUUUUUUUUUUUUUUUUUUUUUUUUUUUUUUUUUACCUUAUUUUCUUUAUCAUUUUGAUUUUCUCUUUUUCCCCCUUUUCAUAUUCUCCAGCCUUCUUCAAUUGCAUCUGAUGUGCUUAGUAAGAGAAGUCCCUAAGUACCAUUAAAAAAAAAAAAAAAAUUGCCCCUUUAGUUUCUUAUUCUUAACUUGAGAACCAACAAAGGCAAAGGUUGUAUAGGAAUUUGGACCAUGCUGCAGAUUCCGAAAGCAUUUUGCCAACCGUUAGUGAAAUAGCGCUAUACUCACAUAGGCUAAGGCUGCUAGUAGGUAAUUUUUCCCCUUAGUUUAUGCUUAGGGUCUAUUCUUACCGAGGGCCUCAUUUGUGGAUCUCAUACUUUGUCCUUUUUAUUCUCUGCCUUAUGUAUUUUAUUUGAGACAUAGAUAUUUACAAGUGGUUUAUAAAUUAAAGAGAAAUAUAUAUAUAUAUGAAUAAUAAUAAAAGACUAUAGUUU
rnacentral:misc_RNA from 1 species